AAUCCUCAAAACCUUUUUCUUUGACGAGAAAAGGAGUUUUGGACUUGGAGGUUCAAUGCUCGCCUUCGGUUCCGAAAGCGAGCUCCUCUUAAAUGAAUCAGUGGGGUCCGCUUUGCUGGUCCUUGACGUGAUAAGAUGUUUCUACGUUUUGGAUCUGGCACUGUCCCUUGGAUGCCCGCUUCUAACCGUCUCAUAGACAGUGAUGGUGCUCCGGUCACCGCCAUCUACAUUGGCGGGAGGCUUGACCCACGACAAAAAA
rnacentral:misc_RNA from 1 species